rnacentral:rRNA from 1 species
CAUCGAUGGGAGCUUGCUCCCUGAAGUGAGCGGCGGAUGGGUGAGUAACACGUGGGUAACCUGCCUGUCAGAUCGGGAUAACUGUGGGAAACCGCAGCUAAUACCGGAUAAUCCUUCGCACCGCAUGGUGCGGAGUUGAAAGAUGGUUUCGGCCAUCACUGACAGAUGGGCCCGCGGUGCAUUAGUUAGUUGGCGGGGUAACGGCCCACCAAGACAGCGAUGCAUAGCCGACCUGAGAGGGUGAUCGGCCACAUUGGGACUGAGACACGGCCCAAACUCCUACGGGAGGCAGCAGUAGGGAAUCUUCCACAAUGGACGAAAGUCUGAUGGAGCAACGCCGCGUGAGCGAAGAAGGUUUUCGGAUCGUAAAGCUCUGUUGCUGGAGAAGAACGAGUGCGAGAGGAAAUGCUCGUACUGUGACGGUAUCCAGCCAGAAAGCCACGGCUAACUACGUGCCAGCAGCCGCGGUAAUACGUAGGUGGCAAGCGUUGUCCGGAAUUAUUGGGCGUAAAGCGCGCGCAGGCGGCUUCUUAAGUCUGAUGUGAAAUCUUGCGGCUCAACCGCAAACGGUCAUUGGAAACUGGGAAGCUUGAGUGCAGAAGAGGAGAGUAGAAUUCCACGUGUAGCGGUGAAAUGCGUAGAUAUGUGGAGGAAUACCAGUGGCGAAGGCGGCUCUCUGGUCUGUAACUGACGCUGAGGCGCGAAAGCGUGGGGAGCAAACAGGAUUAGAUACCCUGGUAGUCCACGCCGUAAACGAUGAAUGCUAGGUGUUAGGGGGGUCCAACCCCUUAGUGCUGAAGUUAACACAUUAAGCAUUCCGCCGGGGGAGUACGACCGCAAGGUUGAAACUCAAAGGAAUUGACGGGGGCCCGCACAAGCAGUGGAGCAUGUGGUUUAAUUCGAAGCAACGCGAAGAACCUUACCAGGUCUUGACAUCCUCUGACAAGCCUAGAGAUAGGCCGUUCCCCUUCGGGGGACAGAGUGACAGGUGGUGCAUGGUUGUCGUCAGCUCGUGUCGUGAGAUGUUGGGUUAAGUCCCGCAACGAGCGCAACCCUUGAUCUUAGUUGCCAGCAUUCAGUUGGGCACUCUAAGGUGACUGCCGGUGACAAA